AUGCAUUACUUGGAAUGCAAUCAGACUUAUAGAGUCUGAUUUGAUUUUUAGAAUGAGAUAUUAGUAAAAAAUAAAUCUGAGUAAUUUUUGAAACAAUAAGAGUUUGAAUUUACCUUGCUAAAUUAUUGUAUACUAUGAUACCAAACCAUUUUCUAUAGCUGGUAAUGCCCGUGAUAAGAGGAUUUCAAGGGGCUCUGAAAUGAAUGAUCCUUGGGAGUGGACUGCUUCUGUCUCCCAGAGUUGAGUGUCCUCUUAGGCCGCUGAAGGUUGUAAAUUAAGAUAGGAACCAGCCCUCUUUUAGAAACAUUAGAUUCCACUGUAUCUGCUGGACUAUGUGGCCUUUAACCUUCUAUUUUCUCAGUACCUUAAUUUUCUUCAAAAACCAAAUUAUGGGUCCACUCAAAAGUCAUCCCACCUACUCCUCUUUUGAGCUACUUAGGCAGAGAAUGUUUUGUGCAAACUGAAACCCACAAAGAAAUCUCCUCUCCAUUUUGAAGGAAGUAGGAGUCAAAGUGACCCUUGUCUACUGUGAUGCUGAAUUCAUGACUAAGAGACUAUUGGUGAACUUAUCCUGGCUGUGAUUACAGACGUCAAGAGGGAGUAUUCCAGCGACACUAAGAAAAUAAUGCAAGAGAACGCCAGCGAAGAGUGCCCAGGCAACACUGACAGACUAGAAAAAAAAUAUCAGGAGAUGAAGCUGACACAGUGAGAGCAGCCCAGGUGCUUCUUGGUGCUUGUUAUUACAGACACACACUUCACACAGGGGAGGAUUAUUUUAAUUCUGUGGCCUUCAGAUCUCAUAAAUACAAGUAAAAACAAGCAGAUGAGAAAAUGAAGGCUAGGAGGGCUCAUGUGACUUGUCCAAGGUCAGCUAGCCAGCAAGCAGUGGCACUGAGAUUUAACCCAGUCCCCUCAACUUCAAGAUCCACACUCAUCCCUUGAGACCACGGCAUCUUCACAUCUGCCACUAAGUACCUGGCAAAGUUGUUGGCUGAUUGGCUGAUUUAAAAAAGUAAGCAACUGACUAAGCCGUGUUUCUAGCCCCACUGCCUACAUGUUGUGUUAUCUUGUAUAAAUGGCUUGCACUGCUCUGCCGGCCAUCUCUUGUAAAUUGCAUAGCGCCCUUUGCUCCCCCAGUCAUUGUUGCUCAUCCUCAUCAUUUCCAGGCAAAGCAGGAACCGCAGAAUCUCUCUCCCAGAUGGAAAUGGAAGUUGUUGCUCUUGACCAAAGGAGUCUGUGGAUCCUGUGUACUGUCCAGUAAGCUGUUCCUGAUAUGGAGAGCACCAUACUUUUGGCAACUUCUUUCAGGCUUGGCUACCAAAGGCUUUGCACAUCUCUCCUGGCGCUCUUAGAUGGAGGUCCGUCUUUGCUGGUGAUGAGAAGUGAAUCAACAGUUUGCUGGGUAGCCACUGUGGGCCAUUAUCUCAUGUUCUCUUCACAGUGACCCUAUGAGGAACAUCUUCCAUGAUCACACGUUAGAGACAGGGUGAGGCGGUGAUUAGUAGUGGAGUUGGGAUGGAGGCCCAGAUUGGGCAGCUCUCUCCUGCAUCCCACCCCAUUGUUGCUCUGCCUUCCCUCCAUUGCUUCCUGCCCCAGUCACCAUGUUGCCCUUUGCCUCUCCCCAUGAAGGGUGUGGCUGCAGGAGCACCAGGCGAGAGACAGGGCCGGUGUCCAACUGGGGAAGCCGGGAGUUGACAUUUCCAUGAGUAGUGAGGAGGCUGACAUUCUGCCAUGGGGGGAGCUAGUCCCAGCUUCCAGGGGCCCAGGUUCCCAAGGAAAUAGCUUGGCCUGUAUUUAAGACAGAAGCCUCUCAAACUGGGGUCAAAGUAAGGAACACUGCUCCUUUCCACUGACAUUUCCAGAUUUGGAGAUGCAGCGUGCAAAGGAGGAUGAUGGUAAGCUAGCGUUUGAAUGAUCAAAGGGCACACUUUGGUGAGAGCAAAGCAGUGUUGAAGGACUUUCUUCUUUCUCUUGACCUUUAUUUCCUCCUCCUGGGGUCUGUAUGUUCCCUUAACUUAGCCUGACACCUCCAUUCACCUCUCUUGCCCAAACUCCUCUCUGUACCUGUGGGCACCUGCCAAGUCUAGAGGCUACAGAAGUAACAUGCGGAGGAUUUGAAUGUUUUUCUUUUUCACCCCAUAAGACAUGAUUAUUUUCUAAGAGAAAAUUAUCCAUAGCUACCUCCUUUCUUCAUUUUAGGCCAACCAGUUCUCUCAGCUCUCUGCAGGGCAGUAAAAAUGCCCUUAUUGCUUAGAAACUGUUCAUAAUUACAUCAGUUUCUGGCCAUUAAGUCCCAUAAGUCUAAAAUGUUGAAUAUAAUAUAGCUGCUUUGGGAAGUCUUUUAGGCCUGAUCCAACUAACUAACUACAACAGCCAGUUCCAAAAUAAGUGAGGACACAGUUUUAAUUGGCAAAAAAUUAUGAUGUGGACUUUUUGUAGAUAUAAAAAUAAAUGGGAGGUUGGCCCAAAGUAAGUUCUGGUGAAAUACAGGAUCAGGACUACCGUUUUGCCCAGGAGGACCCAAACCAAGCACUUAGAAAAGCACGAGAGCAUAGAUUUCUAAGGCACUGGCAUGAGGAUGUCAACUAUGGAUGUGGCUGGAAUUAUUUCCUCACAAGAAAAAAUACUUGGGGUGGUAACCAAAGUGGGAUAGCUUCGGUCAUAAGAAGUGAGGAACAGUGUAUCUAUCACGCAAACCUGAUCCAAGCAAAUACUAACCAGUCCUUAGGAAUGCUAUAUGGGGUCAUAGUGAGCUGUGUAUUUGACAACAGAGUCACUGAUUUUGUGUUGAGAGUGUUUGUGUGAUAGGGAGGGCUCUGAGGUGGGAAACGGGAGGGAGAUAAGAGAAAGAGCUUAACAGGGCCUGUUUCCAGCCCCUUCUCUGAACCUCCCACUGGAUGGAGGGAAGCAAAGUAGAGCCAUGUCAAGUCAACUUGGCUAAAAAAGCCCACAGCUUCCUUCUUUCCCCAGUUCCUCACUCGACAAGGUAAGGAUACUAUCAGCCACUAAACCACUCUGCAGUGAUUCAGCCACUAUACAUAGGGACAAUCAGGAAAAUACUCAUAAUAUAAAGUAAAAAAACACACAAUAUAAAAACAUGCAUGGACCAUGACUGCAAGGAUAUGCAAUAAAUAUCAUACAUCCUGAAUUUGAGACCUCCAGUGUCGUAAGAAAGUGCCACCAAAUCCUCACACCCAAGGCCCUCAGUCUAGUCAAAGGUGGGCAGAAAAGCAAUCACAAUCACACAUGAGAUGCAUACACAUGAAAAGCUCUUUUGGCAACUGUAAAGGAUCCUACAAAUAUUAGCAUGAUUCUAUGGUCAAUAGGACAGUGUGUAUUGAGCACCUAUGUGUUGGACUCUGUUUAGAUUCUGGAGAAAUAGCAGGGGGUGCCGGGUGUCAAGUCAGAGCUUCCACCUUGAGAAACACAAUUAAAAAGUAAACAAAUACAAUAAUUUGAGAUGCUGAUAGGUGUCAUGAAGAAAGUAAAGGAGGGGAGAGAAGAACAAUGGUGUGAGGUCAGCCAGGACAGUCUCCCUGAGGAGGUGACACAUAAGCCAAGGGUAGAAUGAUGAGAAAGAACCAGCCAUGAGAACAUGUGAGGGACUUAUAUUGUAAAAAGGGGUGAUAGCAGCAACCAUGAAGGCCUGAAGUGGGAACAGGUGAGGCAGAGAUUUUUUAAAGGUUGCAGAAGCAGGGACCAGCUGGAAGCCAGAAGCCAGUUAGGAGGGACUUUGGGAAUGGUCCAGGUGAGAGGCAACAGGAUGAGGCACAACAUCCAGGAACUCACAUGCCAGCGCCAGAUCCCUAACCACGCUGACACAGUGCCUCCUCCCCUGCCUUCCAAUGACCCUUCAAUUGAGCAGAGGUAAGAUGCCGUGUGGCCCUUUGUCCUCAGUGGCAGAAGCAGUGCCUUGGUGGAGGUGUGAGCCAGCAGGUGGCUGUUGGGGUGGGCAUGCCACAUAAGCCACGCAUUUUAGACCCUCUCUUGUAGGGCUAAAUGCUGAAAUAGUCCCAUUCUGAGCAAACAGGAGAAGAGUCUGCCUCAUCAACCAUAUGGAAACAGAACCUGUGAGAUUCCUAUCAGAAAUAAAGUCACUCAAGUACUCUUCAAAGAAGGGGAAAAAAAGAGUUUCCAUUUGAAAAUGGGCAAUAUGAUUACAUAUUCUCUGAUUUGGAAGGAGAUGGAUUAAUCGACAAUUAUAAGCAAUCUCUUCAACAGAUUAUAUUAGAUGAGCAUUCUAUUUUUUGGUAACUUUUAAUACAUGGUGGAAUUUUUACGUGAAGUCUUCAGCCUCUCCUUGAAACUCAUGUUACAACUGGAGGAAAAAGUCAGUCAGUUAUGGCCAGCUGUAAUUUCUGCCCUUAAUAACAUGCUCUACUGAGCAAAAACACCUCUGCUGCAGUGAAUCCCCAGUGUGGAAGGGAGACUUGUGACAGGGCACAGGGCUGGGGCCUAAGACCUAAUCCCCACAGGCCCUCAGAGAAACCACCAUAAAGAACUCCAGAGGCAUCAAGUUGGGAUUUAUAAGGCAGGACAGAAGGACUCCACGACUUUGGGACACGAGGUGGCCAGGCCUGGAGAGUGGAGGCUGGGCCAGCACUGCAGAAUCCUCAGCCUGGACUGGGCACCGAGCCUCAGUCAGGAGGGCAGGUAGGGGACCAUCUCAGAUCCACGGCCACAGGGGGCCACGGCCAGCCAAAGUGUGAACCCAAGGUGGCCAGCUCUGAGAAUGAUCUGCAUGCUUCCUAGGACUGAGGGCAGCCACGUUUGUGAGACACACCGUCACCUCGGGCCCUUGCUGAGCAUGAGUCACAGCCAGGCGGAGUGCAGCUGGGCACCCACUGGAAACAGCUGGUAGGGCCACGCAAACUCAGUCAUUUGCUCUGUCCUCCAGACUUCACCUCAUACUUCUGUGGCUCUCUAAUGAAACAUUAGGGGCCGCCAAAAUUCCUUCAAAUUAAUAAAAUUGGGAGGAAAAUAAAAUGGAAAGGAAAAUUGAAGCACACUUGGUUUACAUUAUUAAAGCCGUCAGGCACCAAUUAAUCAAAAUCUAGGCCUGAUAUUGACUACUGGACAGCUGAAAAUUCCCAUGGUGGCUGUUAUUUUUGUUGAGGGACUUGAUCAAAUACCGACUCCAUUUGGAAACAUUUUAUAAUGACCGUUUUCAGAAAAUGAGCAGCCCCUUUGAGAGAUCUCA